rnacentral:rRNA from 1 species
AAUGCAUGCAAGUCGUACGGAACCAUGGUUCUCGGAUCACGGUUCAGUGGCGGACGGCUGAGUAACACGUGGGUAACCUACCCGUGAGCGGGGGAUAACUUACCGAAAGGUACGCUAAUACCGCAUGGUGUGCAACUGCUCAAGCAGUUUCACUAAAGCCGCUAUGCACUCACGGAUGGGCCUGCGGCCGAUCAGCUAGUUGGUGAGGUAACGGCCCACCAAGGCUAUGAUCGGUAGCUGGUCUGAGAGGAUGUCCAGCCAGAUGGGGACUGAGACACGGCCCCAACUCCUACGGGAGGCAGCAGCAAGGGAAUAUUGGGCAAUGGGCGAAAGCCUGACCCAGCGACACCGCGUGGGGGAUGAAGGUUCUCGGAUCGUAAACCCUUU